rnacentral:rRNA from 1 species
GACGAACGCUGGCGGCGUGCUUAACACAUGCAAGUCGAGCGGUAAGGCCCUUUCGGGGGUACACGAGCGGCGAACGGGUGAGUAACACGUGGGUGACCUGCCUUUAGCUCUGGGAUAAGCCUGGGAAACCGGGUCUAAUACCGGAUAUGACUCCAUGACGCAUGUUGUGGGGUGGAAAGCCUUGUGCGGCUGAGGAUGGGCCCGCGGCCUACCAGCUUGUUGGUGGGGUGAUGGCCUACCAAGGCGACGACGGGUAGCCGGCCUGAGAGGGCGACCGGCCACACUGGGGCUGAGACACGGCCCAGACUCCUACGGGAGGCAGUAGUGGGGAAUCUUGCGCAAUGGGCGAAAGCCUGACGCAGCGACG